rnacentral:rRNA from 1 species
UGAACGCUAGCGGCAGGCUUAACACAUGCAAGUCGAGGGGCAGCAUAAACAUUGCUUGCAAUGUUUGAUGGCGACCGGCGCACGGGUGCGUAACGCGUAUGUAACCUACCUCAAACAGGGGCAUAACACUGAGAAAUUGGUACUAAUACCCCAUAACACUUCGGAGGGCAUCCUCUGGAGUUGAAAGUUCCGGCGGUUAAGGAUGGACAUGCGUUGUAUUAGCUAGAUGGUGAGGUAACGGCUCACCAUGGCGACGAUACAUAGGGGGACUGAGAGGUUAACCCCCCACAUUGGUACUGAGACACGGACCAAACUCCUACGGGAGGCAGCAGUGAGGAAUAUUGGUCAAUGGACGCAAGUCUGAACCAGCCAUGCCGCGUGCAGGAAGACGGCUCUAUGAGUUGUAAACUGCUUUUGUAUGAGGGUAAAAUUAGAUACGUGUAUCUAACUGCAAGUAUCAUACGAAUAAGGAUCGGCUAACUCCGUG